UACGGGGGGGGCAAGCGUUGUCCGGAAUCAUUGGGCGUAAAGCGCGUGUAGGCGGUUCGGUAAGUCCGCUGUGAAAGUCGGGGGCUCAACCCUCGGAUGCCGGUGGAUACUGUCGGGCUAGAGUUCGGAAGAGGCAAGUGGAAUUCCUGGUGUAGCGGUGGAAUGCGCAGAUAUCAGGAGGAACACCGAUAGCGAAGGCAGCUUGCUGGGACGACACUGACGCUGAGGCGCGAAAGCGUGGGGAGCGAACAGG
rnacentral:rRNA from 1 species